UAGGGAAUCUUCGGCAAUGGGGGGAACCCUGACCGAGCAACGCCGCGUGAGUGAAGAAGGUUUUCGGAUCGUAAAGCUCUGUUGUUAAGGAAGAACGAGUGUGAGAAUGGAAAGUUCAUGCUGUGACGGUACUUAACCAGAAAGGGACGGCUAACUACGUGCCAGCAGCCGCGGUAAUACGUAGGUCCCGAGCGUUGUCCGGAUUUAUUGGGCGUAAAGCGAGCGCAGGCGGUUAGAAAAGUCUGAAGUGAAAGGCAGUGGCUCAACCAUUGUAGGCUUUGGAAACUGUUUAACUUGAGUGCAGAAGGGGAGAGUGGAAUUCCAUGUGUAGCGGUGAAAUGCGUAGAUAUAUGGAGGAACACCGGUGGCGAAGGCGACUCUCUGGUCUGUAACUGACGCUGAGGCUCGAAAGCGUGGGUAGCAAACAGG
rnacentral:rRNA from 1 species